rnacentral:rRNA from 1 species
UAAAAAAAGGUAAGCUACUAAGAGCGAAUGGUGGAUGCCUUGACUGGUAAAGGCGAUGAAGGACGUACUAGACUGCGAUAAGCUACGGGGAGCUGUCAAGAAGCUUUGAUCCGUAGAUUUCCGAAUGGGGCAACCCAAUGUAUAGAGAUAUGCAUUACCUAUAUAGGAGCGAACGAGGGGAAUUGAAACAUCUUAGUACCCUCAGGAAAAGAAAUCAAUAGAGAUUGCGUCAGUAGCGGCGAGCGAAAGCGCAAGAGGGCAAACCCAGUGCUUGCACUGGGGGUUGUAGGACUGCAAUGUGCAAGAGGUAAGUUUAGCAGAACAUUCUGGAAAGUAUAACCAUAGAGGGUGAUAGUCCCGUAUGCGAAAAACAAACCUUAGCUAGCAGUAUCCUGAGUAGGGCGGGACACGAGGAAUCCUGUCUGAAUCCGGGUCGACCACGAUCCAACCCUAAAUACUAAUACCAGAUCGAUAGUGCACAAGUACCGUGAGGGAAAGGUGAAAAGAACUGAGGUGAUCAGAGUGAAAUAGAACCUGAAACCAUUUGCUUACAAUCAUUCAGAGCCCUAUGUAGCAAUACAGGGUGAUGGACUGCCUUUUGCAUAAUGAGCCUGCGAGUUGUGGUGUCUGGCAAGGUUAAGCAAACGCGAAGCCGUAGCGAAAGCGAGUCUGAAUAGGGCGCUUAGUCAGAUGCUGCAGACCCGAAACGAAGUGAUCUAUCCAUGAGCAAGUUGAAGCUAGUGUAAGAACUAGUGGAGGACUGAACCCAUAGGCGUUGAAAAGCCCCGGGAUGACUUGUGGAUAGGGGUGAAAGGCCAAUCAAACUUCGUGAUAGCUGGUUCUCUCCGAAAUAUAUUUAGGUAUAGCGUUGUGUCGUAAUAUAAGGGGGUAGAGCACUGAAUGGGCUAGGGCAUACACCAAUGUACCAAACCCUAUCAAACUCCGAAUACCUUAUAUGUAAUCACAGCAGUCAGGCGGCGAGUGAUAAAAUCCGUCGUCAAGAGGGAAACAACCCAGACUACCAGCUAAGGUCCCUAAAUCUUACUUAAGUGGAAAACGAUGUGAAGUUACUUAAACAACCAGGAGGUUGGCUUAGAAGCAGCCAUCCUUUAAAGAAAGCGUAAUAGCUCACUGGUCUAGUGAUUUUGCGCGGAAAAUAUAACGGGGCUAAAGU